rnacentral:rRNA from 1 species
AGAGUUUGAUCCUGGCUCAGAAUGAACGCUGGCGGCGUGCCUAACACAUGCAAGUCGGAUGUGCCGCAAGGUGCAUGGCAGACGGGUGAGUAACGCGUAGGGAAUCUACCUUUUUGUGGGGAAUAACGAUCCGAAAGGAUUGGUAAUACCGCAUGUGAUCAUCGACUGGGAUGUUGGUGAUGAAAGCCGGGGACCGCAAGGCCUGGCGCUAGGAGAGGAGCCCGCGUCUGAUUAGUUAGUUGGUGGGGUAACGGCCUACCAAGACAUCGAUCAGUAGCCGGCCUGAGAGGGUGAUCGGCCACACUGGAACUGAGACACGGUCCAGACUCCUACGGGAGGCAGCAGUGAGGAAUAUUGGGCAAUGCCCGCAAGGGUGACCCAGCAACGCCGCGUGGAGGAUGAAAGCCGUAAGGUUGUAAACUCCUUUUGAAGAGGAAGAACAUUUUCGAUCGAAUCGAAAACUGACUGUACUCUUAGAAGAAGCCCCGGCUAACUACGUGCCAGCAGCCGCGGUAAUACGUAGGGGGCAAGCGUUGUCCGGAUUUACUGGGUGUAAAGGGCGCGUAGGCGGGUUUGUAAGUUAGAGGUGAAAUCCUGCAGCUUAACUGUAGAACUGCCUCUGAUACUGCAAAUCUUGAGUUCAGAAGAGAGUAGCGGAAUUCCAGGUGUAGUGGUGAAAUACGUAGAUAUCUGGAAGAACACCAGUGGCGAAGGCGGCUACUUGGUCUGCAACUGACGCUGAGGCGCGAAAGCGUGGGGAUCAAACAGGAUUAGAUACCCUGGUAGUCC